GGCGCUGUGGCAGAAUGUGUAAAGCUGCUGCCUGCAGUGCUGCCAUCCCAGGUGGGCUCUGGUUCAAGUCCUGGCUGCUCCA
rnacentral:tRNA from 1 species